rnacentral:rRNA from 1 species
ACGAACGCUGGCGGCGUGCUUAACACAUGCAAGUCGAACGUGAUUUUUGUGGAAAUUCUUUCGGGAAUGGAAAUGAAAUGAAAGUGGCGAACGGGUGAGUAACACGUGAGCAACCCACCUUACACAGGGGGAUAGCCGUUGGAAACGACGAUUAAUACCGCAUGAGACCACAGAAUCGCAUGAUAUAGGGGUCAAAGAUUUAUCGGUGUAAGAAGGGCUCGCGUCUGAUUAGCUAGUUGGAAGGGUAAAGGCCUACCAAGGCGACGAUCAGUAGCCGGUCUGAGAGGAUGAACGGCCACAUUGGAACUGAGACACGGUCCAAACUCCUACGGGAGGCAGCAGUGGGGAAUAUUGCACAAUGGGGGGAACCCUGAUGCAGCGACGCCGCGUGAGCGAAGAAGGUUUUCGAAUCGUAAAGCUCUGUCCUAUGAGAAGAUAAUGACGGUAUCAUAGGAGGAAGCCCCGGCUAAAUACGUGCCAGCAGCCGCGGUAAUACGUAUGGGGCGAGCGUUGUCCGGAAUUAUUGGGCGUAAAGGGUACGUAGGCGGUUUUUUAAGUCAGGUGUGAAAGCGUGAGGCUUAACCUCAUUAAGCACUUGAAACUGGAAGACUUGAGUGAAGGAGAGGAAAGUGGAAUUCCUAGUGUAGCGGUGAAAUGCGUAGAUAUUAGGAGGAAUACCGGUGGCGAAGGCGGCUUUCUGGACUUUUACUGACGCUCAGGUACGAAAGCGUGGGGAGCAAACAG